AGUAAUGGUCCAGCUGCUUCACAGGCAACUGGUAACCACCUCAUUUGGGGAUGUUUCUGCCUUGCUAGCAGUGCCAGAGAGAACUUCAUCAUUGUCACCUCAUCAAAGACUACUUUUUCAGACAUCUCCUGUAGGGCUAGAUUCGGAGAGCAGCUUCUGAUAUUUGGAGGGUGAUCUUUAGACAGUGACUGAGUAUGGAUCAUUUGAACGAGGCAACUCAGGGGAAAGAACAUUCAGAAAUGUCUAACAAUGUGAGUGAUCCGAAGGGUCCACCAGCCAAGAUUGCCCGCCUGGAGCAGAACGGGAGCCCGCUAGGAAGAGGAAGGCUUGGGAGUACAGGUGCAAAAAUGCAGGGAGUGCCUUUAAAACACUCGGGCCAUCUGAUGAAAACCAACCUUAGGAAAGGUAAAUACUUUCAAGACAAAUCUUGAAAAGCUGAAAGCCCUGUUGUCUACACAAGGCCACACUGUGUGGGGG
rnacentral:sRNA from 1 species